rnacentral:rRNA from 1 species
AGAGUUUGAUCAUGGCUCAGAGUGAACGCUGGCGGUAGGCCUAACACAUGCAAGUCGAACGGCAGCACAGGAGAGCUUGCUCUCUGGGUGGCGAGUGGCGGACGGGUGAGGAAUACAUCGGAAUUUACUUUUUCGUGGGGGAUAACGUAGGGAAACUUACGCUAAUACCGCAUACGACCUACGGGUGAAAGCAGGGGAUCUUCGGACCUUGCGCGAUUGAAUGAGCCGAUGUCGGAUUAGCUAGUUGGCGGGGUAAAGGCCCACCAAGGCGACGAUCCGUAGCUGGUCUGAGAGGAUGGUCAGCCACACUGGAACUGAGACACGGUCCAGACCCCUACGGGAGGCAGCAGUGGGGAAUAUUGGACAAUGGGCGCAAGCCUGAUCCAGCCAUACCGCGUGGGUGAAGAAGGCCUUCGGGUUGUAAAGCCCUUUUGUUGGGAAAGAAAUCCAGCUGGUUAAUACCCGGUUGGGAUGACGGUACCCAAAGAAUAAGCACCGGCUAACUUCGUGCCAGCAGCCGCGGUAAUACAAAGGGUGCAAGCGUUACUCGGAACUACUGGGCGUAAAGCGUGCGUAGGUGGUCGUUUAAGUCCGUUGUGAAAGCCCUGGGCUCAACCUGGGAACUGCAGUGGAUACUGGGCGACUAGAAUGUGGUAGAGGGUAGCGGAAUUCCUGGUGUAGCAGUGAAAUGCGUAGAGAUCAGGAGGAACAUCCAUGGCGAAGGCAGCUACCUGGACCAACAUUGACACUGAGGCACGAAAGCGUGGGGAGCAAACC